ACGGGAGGCAGCAGUGGGGAAUAUUGCACAAUGGGGGAAACCCUGAUGCAGCGACGCCGCGUGAGUGAAGAAGUAUUUCGGUAUGUAAAGCUCUAUCAGCAGGAAAGAAAAUGACGGUACCUGACUAAGAAGCCCCGGCUAACUACGUGCCAGCAGCCGCGGUAAUACGUAGGGAGCAAGCGUUAUCCGGAAUUAUUGGGUGUAAAGGGUGCGUAGACGGGAAUUUAAGUUAGUUGUGAAAUCCCUCGGCUUAACUGAGGAACUGCAACUAAAACUGAAUUUCUUGAGUGCAGGAGAGGAAAGCGGAAUUCCUAGUGUAGCGGUGAAAUGCGUAGAUAUUAGGAAGAACACCAGUGGCGAAGGCGGCUUUCUGGACUGUAACUGACGUUGAGGCACGAAAGUGUGGGGAGCAAACAGGAUUAGAUACCCUGGUA
rnacentral:rRNA from 1 species